UGGAUUGUUGAUAAUAAACAGAAAAGUUUAUUAUAUGCAACAUUCAUAGCAUCUGAGUUCAAUUAUUGUCCUUUAGUCUGGGGAUUUAAUAGCAGGAAAUCUAUUUCAAAGGUGGAUAGAGUUUUAAAAAGGGCAAGGUCUCAAACACAAAGUAGCUACAAAUAAAAAAUAAAUAAACUUCUCACGAAGUUUUAAAA